AUUGAACGCUGGCGGCAGGCUUAACACAUGCAAGUCGAGCGGGGGAAGGUAGCUUGCUACCGGACCUAGCGGCGGACGGGUGAGUAAUGCUUAGGAAUCUGCCUAUUAGUGGGGGACAACAUCUCGAAAGGGAUGCUAAUACCGCAUACGUCCUACGGGAGAAAGCAGGGGAUCACUUGUGACCUUGCGCUAAUAGAUGAGCCUAGGUCGGAUUGGCUAGUUGGUGGGGUAAAGGCCUACCAAGGGGACGAUCUGUAGCGGGUCUGAGAGGAUGAUCCGCCACACUGGGACUGAGACACGGCCCAGACUCCUACGGGAGGCAGCAGUGGGGAAUAUUGGACAAUGGGGGGAACCCUGAUCCAGCCAUGCCGCGUGUGUGAAGAAGGCCUUAUGGUUGUAAAGCACUUUAAGCGAGGAGGAGGCUCUUUUGGUUAAUACCCAAGAUGAGUGGACGUUACUCGCAGAAUAAGCACCGGCUAACUCUGUGCCAGCAGCCGCCGUAA
rnacentral:rRNA from 1 species